rnacentral:rRNA from 1 species
UACGAGAGCCUCGAGCGUUAUCCGGAAUUAUUGGGCGUAAAGGGUGCGUAGGUUGUUCUGUUAGUCUUUUGUUAAAUUCUUAAGCUUAACGUGAGAACCGCAAAAGAAACGGCAGAACUUGAAAGUAGGAGAGGUGUACGGAACUCAUGGUGUAGGGGUGAAAUCCGUUGAUAUCAUGGGGAACACCAAAGGCGAAGGCAGUACACUGGCCUAUAUUUGACACUGAAGCACGAAAGCGUGGGUAGCGAAUGGG